rnacentral:rRNA from 1 species
UACGGGGGGGGCAAGCGUUGUUCGGAAUUACUGGGCGUAAAGGGCGCGUAGGCGGUUGGAUAAGUCAGCUGUGAAAACCACGAGCUUAACUCGUGGCCUGCAGUUGAGACUGUCUGGCUUGAGUGUGGGAGAGGAGAGUGGAAUUCCUGGUGUAGCGGUGAAAUGCGCAGAUAUCAGGAGGAACACCGAUGGCGAAGGCAGGUCUCUGGGCCACUACUGACGCUGAGAAGCGAAAGCAUGGGGAGCGAACAGG